rnacentral:rRNA from 1 species
GAUGAACGCUGGCGGCGUGCUUAACACAUGCAAGUCGAACGAGAAGUGGAGACGGAAACCUUCGGGCGGAAGACUUUAUUUCGAGUGGCGGACGGGUGAGUAACGCGUGGGUACCCUGCCUCAUACAGGGGGAUAACAGUUGGAAACGACUGUUAAUACCGCAUAAGACCACAGCACCGCAUGGUGCGGGGGUAAAAACUCCGGUGGUAUGAGAUGGACCCGCGUUCGAUUAGCCAGUUGGCGGGGUAACGGCCCACCAAAGCGACGAUCGAUAGCCGAUCUGAGAGGAUGACCGGCCACAUUGGGACUGAGACACGGCCCAAACUCCUACGGGAGGCAGCAGUGGGGAAUAUUGCACAAUGGGGGAAACCCUGAUGCAGCGACGCCGCGUGAGUGAAGAAGUAUUUCGGUAUGUAAAGCUCUAUCAGCAGGGAAGAAAAUGACGGUACCUGAGUAAGAAGCCCCGGCUAACUACGUG